AGUGACCGAUAGCGCAUAGUACUGUGAAGGAAAGGUGAAAAGGACCCCGGGAGGGGAGUGAAAGAGAACCUGAAACCCUGUGUUUACAAGCUGUCGAAGCACGUUAGUGCGACGGCGUACUUUUUGUAGAACGGUCCGGCGAGUUAUGAUACGCGGUAAGGUUAAGGACUUAAGGUCCGGAGCCGAAGCGAAAGCGAGUGUUAAGAGCACGAAGAAUCACGUAUCAUAGACCCGAAACCGGGUGAUCUAUCCAUGUCCAGGAUGAAGCUGCCGUAAGAGGUAGUGGAGGUCCGAACACACAUCCGUUGAAAAGGGUGGUGAUGAGGUGUGGAUAGGGGAGAAAUUCCAAUCGAACCCGGAGAUAGCUGGUUCUCCUCGAAAUAGCUUUAGGGCUAGCCUUCAGUUAGUCUGCCGCAGGUAGAGCACUGAAUUUCCUAGGGGGCGUCAAAGCCUACCGAAGAAUAUCAAACUGCGAAUGGCGGACAGAUGAUGCUGGGGAGUCAGACUGCACGAGAUAAGUUGGGUGGUCAAAAGGGAAAGAGCCCAGACCUACAGCUAAGGUCCCAAAGUGCGUGUUAAGUGGAAAAGGAUGUGGGAUUUCGAAGACAACUAGGAUGUUGGCUCAGAAGCAGCCAUACAUUAAAAGAGUGCGUAAUAGCUCACUAGUCGAGAGGUCCUGCGCCGAAAAUGUCCGGGGCUGAAACACGACACCGAAGCUUAGGAACAGAAAUGUUGGUAGAGGAGCAUUGUUAGCGGAACGAAGCCAUACCGGAAGGAGUGGUGGACUGCUAAGAAGAGAGAAUGCCGGAAUGAGUAGCGAGAAUGAAGUGAGAAUCUUCAUGGCCGAAUAUCUAAGGUUUCCAGGGUAAAGCUGAUCUGCCCUGGGUAAGUCGGGGCCUAAGGCGAGGUCGAAAGACGUAGCCGAUGGACAACAGGUUGAAAUUCCUGUACUGCGAUAUAUCAGAAAUGUGGGGACACAGAAGGAAAGUGUGAGCCGGGAAAGGAAAGACCGGUGCAAGCACAGGAGGAGAGAUGCAGGCAAAUCCGCAUCCCAAUCCAAAGGUGUUACGCGGAGCGAACAAAAGUAGCGAAGCACAUGGACCAUCUGUCGAGAAAAGCCGCUAUUGUGUAUACCGUACCCGUACCGUAAACCGACACAGGUGGAUGAGGAGAGAAUCCUAAGGCCGGCGGGAGAAGCAUUGUUAAGGAACUCGGCAAAAUGACCCCGUAACUUCGGGAGAAGGGGUGCUCACGCAAGUGAGCCGCAGAGAACUGGCCCAAGCAACUGUUUAGCAAAAACACAGGUCUAUGCAAAACCGAAAGGUGAGGUAUAUGGGCUGACGCCUGCCCGGUGCUGGAAGGUUAAGAGGAGAUGUUAGAGCAAUCGAAGCAUUGAAUUUAAGCCCCAGUAAACGGCGGCCGUAACUAUAACGGUCCUAAGGUAGCGAAAUUCCUUGUCGGGUAAGUUCCGACCCGCACGAAAGGCGUAAUGAUUUGGGCACUGUCUCGACAAUGCACCCGGUGAAAUUGAAAUACCAGUGAAGAUGCUGGUUACCUGCGCCAGGACGGAAAGACCCCAUGGAGCUUUACUCUAGCUUGAUACUGGGAUUCGGUAUUGCAUGUACAGGAUAGGUGGGAGACUAAGAGGUGAUGACGCCAGUUGUCACGGAGUCGAUGUUGGGAUACCACCCCUGCAGUACUGGGUUUCUAACCUGCGGCCGUAACCCGGCCGGGGGACAAUGUCUGGUGGGGAGUUUGACUGGGGCGGUCGCCUCCGAAAGGGUAUCGGAGGCGCUCAAAGGUUCCCUCAGAAUGGUUGGAAACCAUUCGAAGAGUGCAAAGGCAGAAGGGAGCUUGACUGCGACACCGACGGGUGGAGCAGGUACGAAAGUAGGACUUAGUGAUCCGGUGGUAUGAAAGUGGGAUUGCCAUCGCUCAACGGAUAAAAGCUACCCUGGGGAUAACAGGCUUAUCACUCCCAAGAGUUCACAUCGACGGAGUGGUUUGGCACCUCGAUGUCGGCUCAUCGCAUCCUGGGGCUGUAGUAGGUCCCAAGGGUUGGGCUGUUCGCCCAUUAAAGCGGUACGCGAGCUGGGUUCAGAACGUCGUGAGACAGUUCGGUCCCUAU
rnacentral:rRNA from 1 species